rnacentral:rRNA from 1 species
UACGUAGGGGGCAAGCGUUGUCCGGAUUCAUUGGGCGUAAAGAGCGUGUAGGCGGCCUGAAAGGUCAGCUGUGAAAACUCGAGGCUCAACCUCGAGACGUCGGUUGAAACCAUCUGGCUAGAGUCCGGAAGAGGAGUGUGGAAUUCCCGGUGUAGCGGUGAAAUGCGCAGAUAUCGGGAAGAACACCCGUGGCGAAGGCGGCACUCUGGGACGGUACUGACGCUGAGGAGCGAAAAGCAUGGGGGAGCGAACAGGA